UUUAGUCAAUUUACAUACAAUUUGGUUUUGAUUUGUGAAAAAGCAACUGCGACUGUGUUUAAGCUGUGAGGCUCUUGCAACGGUCAUAUUUCACAACCCUAUUUCCUAAUAGCUUUAGGAUAUGCCUAAAUGCUUCUCUUCGCUCCCAAUAGCUUCAAAUAUUCAAUAUCACAACUUUCUCUCUCUCUUGCCCUCACUUUCACCUCUUGUCUCUCUGAUUUCUGCUUUCUUGAGCAACCCAACUAUUCCAACGAGCACAUUUUUCUUUU
rnacentral:lncRNA from 1 species